GGAGGAUCCUUUGCUUCAGAUGAUCCUGGAUCAUGGAGCCAUGAAGAUGUUGAUAGUUGGAUAUCAGGAACAGAUGAUGUCAAUCACUAAUGGAUCACAGUUGACCAGGGGAAACUAAAAUCAUGGGAAACAAAACCAUGGAUAAGGCAGUACUACUGUAUACAGUUGGCCCUCCAUAGCCAUGCACUCUGCAUCAGUGGAUUCAAUCAGCCAUGGAUAAAAAAAUGUUUGAAAAGUUUAAAAGAAUGGUUGUUUCUGUACUGAACAGGUUAGGUGUUCAAGCUGUGUUAAAUCACAUCCCUGAUGUUUAUGUGGUCAGGAUAUGUGCCCUUGAGUGACCAAGCAGAAGUGCAUCUUCAAUGUUAGCUAAAUACACCUCUAACGUAUUGAAGGAAAAAAUUCAAACCAGACAGAGAGGACUGGAAUAUAUAACUAGCGCUUCAGUGCAAAGACACAGACCUACAUCAUGAGAAACAACAGCCCACUAGGAACCAUAACCUCCCCCACCCAAAAAAAAAAAGUCACUGACCAUAGCAAGAUAGCAAUAUGUGAGUUCUCUGACCAAGAAUUUAAAAUAGAAGUUUUAAGAAUAUGCAGUGCAUAGCAAUUCACAAAUUUAUGAAAGUAAUUUAACAAAUAAAUUGAAAUAAUUUUUAAAAAUCAAAUAGACAUCUUAGGAAUCAAAAAUGAAUUUGCUAAACUGAAAAACUCAUUGGAGGCUCUGAACAGAAGAAUGGAAUAAGCAAAGGAAAGAAUCAGGGCGCUUAAACACAGGCUAUUUGAUAUUACACUGUUAGAGAAAAAAAAAAAGAAAGAGAAGAAAUGAUAAUCUCCUGCAAGAUACAGAAAAUUAUCUCAAAAAAAUCUAAGAACUACUGGUGUUCUACCGGGAGUUGAACAAGAGAAAGAGGUGGAAAAGUUACUCAAAGAAAUAAUAACAAAAAAUUCCCAAACAUGAGAAAGAUAGAAAUAUACAGUUACAGGAAAAUCAGAGAAUGCCAAACAUAUUUGAUGCAAAUAAGACUACCCCAAGAUAAAUAAUAAUCAAACUCUCAAAGGUCAAAGACAAAUUAGGAACCUAAAAGCACAAAAGAAUAGUUGCAAAUAACAUAUAAAGGAGCUUUAAUUCCUCUGCCAACAGACUUCUCAGUGAAAAUCCUAUGGGCCAGGAGGGAGUAAAACAUUUUUAAAGUGCUGAAAGAAAAAACUGCCAUUUGAGAAUAGAACAAAGCUAUCCUUCAGAUAUGAAGGAGAUAUAAAGUCUUUUCUAGACAAACAAAAACAGUGACAAUUCACCACCACCUGACCCAUCUUAUAAAAAAAUCUUUAAAAAGUCUUCAAUAUGAAAUUAAAAAAAACAAAUAAACAAUAAUAUGCAAAAAAUGAAGCAUUUGAAGGUAUAAAACUCACUGGUAAUAUUAAGUACAAAAGCAACCCCAGAAUACUGUAUUACUGUAAUUGUGGUGUGCAAUCCAAUUAUAACACUAAUUUAAAGCCUAAAAGACAAAUCUGUUAAAAACAAUGGUAGCUACAGCAACCUUUUAAAAGAUAGGCAAUAUUAAAAAAUGUAAAUAGAGACAACCAAAAGUCAAAAUGUUUGGUAUGGAAUUAAAAUUGAGAUUUUUUGGUUUGAGUUUGCUUUUGUUUUUAUACAUAUUUCAUGA
rnacentral:lncRNA from 1 species